GCCACUGUGGCUUAGGGGCAAAGCGAUUCCUUGGUAAGGAAUAGAUCGCGGGUUCAAUUCCCGCCAGUGGCU
rnacentral:tRNA from 1 species